rnacentral:rRNA from 1 species
CGGACUGCAGGCUGCAACUCGCCUGCACGAAGUUGGAAUUGCUAGUAAUCGUGGAUCAGCAUGCCACGGUGAAUACGUUCCCGGGUCUUGUACACACCGCCCGUCACACCAUGGGAGCCGGGGGGCGCUUGAAGUGCGUUGCCGCAAGGCGCGCCCUAGAGCGAAACCGGUGACUGGGGCUAAGUCGUAACAAGGUAAC